AGGACGAACGCUGGCGGCGUGCUUAACACAUGCAAGUCGAGCGGUAAGGCCCUUUCGGGGGUACACGAGCGGCGAACGGGUGAGUAACACGUGGGUGACCUGCCCUUAGCUCUGGGAUAAGCCUGGGAAACUGGGUCUAAUACCGGAUAUGACCUCGCGAUGCAUGUCGUGGGGUGGAAAGCCUUGUGCGGCUAGGGAUGGGCCCGCGGCCUAUCAGCUUGUUGGUGGGGUGAUGGCCUACCAAGGCGACGACGGGUAGCCGGCCUGAGAGGGCGACCGGCCACACUGGGACUGAGACACGGCCCAGACUCCUACGGGAGGCAGCAGUGGGGGAAUCUUGCGCAAUGGGCGAAAGCCUGACGCAGCGACGCCGCGUGAGGGAUGACGGCCUUCGGGUUGUAACCUCUUUCAGCCCUGACGAAGCGAAAGUGACGGUAGGGCAGAAGAGCACCGGCCAACUAUGUGCCAGCAGCCGCGGU
rnacentral:rRNA from 1 species